rnacentral:rRNA from 1 species
AGUGAACGCUGGCGGUAGGCCUAACACAUGCAAGUCGAACGGCAGCACAGUACGGGCUUGCUCUUACGGGUGGCGAGUCGCGGAGGGGUGGGGAAUACAUCGGAAUCUACUUUUUCGUGGGGGUUAACGUAGGUAACCUUACGCUAAUACCGCAUACGACCUACGGGUGAAAGCCGGGGAUUUUCGGACCUGGAGAGAUUGAAUGAGCAGAUGUCGGAUUAGCUGGUUGGGGGGGAGAAGGCCCACUAAGGGGACGAUGCGUAGCUGGUCUGAGAGGAUGGUUAGCCACACGGGAAGUGAGGAAGGGUCCAGACUCCUACGGGAGGCCACAGUGGGGAAUAUUGGACAAUGGGGGCGAGGCUGAUCCAGCCAUACCGCGUGGGUGAAGAAGGCCCUCGGGUUGGUAAGCCCUGUUGUUGGGAAAGAAAAGCAGCAGGUUCAUACGCCGCGGUACUGACGGUACCCAAGGAAGAAGCACCGGCUAACUUCGUG